rnacentral:tRNA from 1 species
GCUCCCAUGGCGUAGUGGUCACUGCGCUCGCCUUGCACGCGGGAGAUCCGGGUUUGAUUUCCGGCGGGGUCA